rnacentral:rRNA from 1 species
GCAUGUCUAAGUAUAAACAAAUUUAUACAGUGAAACUGCGAAUGGCUCAUUAUAUCAGCUAUAAUUUAUUUGAUGAUACCUUUUACUACUUGGAUAACCGUGGUAAUUCUGGAGCUAAUACAUGCACUAAACACCCCAACUUCUGGAAGGGGAGCAUUUAUUAGAUACAAAACCAAUGGGGGCAACCUCUUACUUGGUGAUUCAUAAUAACUAAGCGUAUCGCAUGGCCUUGUGCGGCGAAGGGUCAUUCAAAUUUCUGCCCUAUCAACUGUCGAUGGUAGUAUAGAGGACUACCAUGGUGGUAACGGGUAACGGGGAAUUAGGGUUCGAUUCCGGAGAGGGAGCCUGAGAAACGGCUACCACUUCUAAGGAAGACAGCAGGCGCGCAAAUUACCCAAUCCUGAUACAGGGAGGUAGUGACAAUAAAUAACAAUCCAGGGCCUUUUAGGUCUUGGAAUUGGAAUGAGUACAAAUUAAACCUCUUAACGAGGAACAAUUGGAGGGCAAGUCUGGUGCCAGCAGCCGCGGUAAUUCCAGCUCCAAUAGCGUAUAUUAAAGUUGUUGCAGUUAAAAAGCUCGUAGUUGAACUUUAGGCUUGUUAGACCGGGGUUCUGUUUGGGGUUGGGUUCUUGGGUUGUUAGUAAUAAUAGCUUAGGGAUUCAGCUUCAGGGAUCUUGGUUUUGAGUCUUUACAAUUCUGGGAAAGUUGAAUGUUGAGGUUUGCAGCAAUGUAGGCUUUGAUGUUUUAUACGCCCAGAACUUUUACCUUGAAAAAAUUAGAGUGUUCAAAGCARGSMWUWAWWRSCYGAAUAUAUUAGCAUGGAAUAAUAAAAUAGGACUUUGGUUUUAUUUUGUUGGUUUCUGAAACCAAGGUAAUGAUUAAUAGGGACAGUUGGGGGCAUUUGUAUGGCACUGUCAGUGGUGAAAUACUUGAACCAGUGCCAGACAAACUGAUGCGAAAGCGUCUGCCAAGGAUGUUUUCAUUAAUCAAGAACGAAAGUUAGGGGAUCGAAGACGAUUAGAUACCGUCGUAGUCUUAACCAUAAACUAUGCCAACUCGGGAUCAGGCAAUGUUAAAUAUAACGACUUGCUUGGCACCGUAUGAGAAAUCAAAGUUUUUGGGUUCCGGGGGGAGUAUGGUCGCAAGGCUGAAACUUAAAGGAAUUGACGGAAGGGCACCACCAGGAGUGCUGCGGCUCAAUUCGACUCAACACGGGGAAACUCACCAGGUCCAGACAUAGUGAGGAUUGACAGAUUGAGAGCUCUUUCUUGAUUCUAUGGGUGGUGGUGCAUGGCCGUUCCUAGUUGGUGGAGUGAUUUGUCUGGUUAAUUCCGAUAACGAACGAGACCUUAACCUGCUAAAUAUGCAACGCUAUUGUAUGGGGUGGGGCUGCUUGGGUGGAGUUGGUGCUAUUUAUAGUGCCUUUUUCAAACUUGUAGUCUUGCCCUAGUUUAUCAAUGGGCGGAUUUGCUUCUUAGAGGGACUGUUAGUGGUUAACUAACGGAAUC